AGUGUCUAUGAUGAAAAUUUUCACUGAUUUAUGAGUCCAUGUGAUUAUUACUUUAACAUGCACUACCAACUGAGACACG